rnacentral:rRNA from 1 species
GACGAACGCUGGCGGCGUGCUUAACACAUGCAGGUCGAACGGAAAGGCCCUGCUUUUGUGGGGUGCUCGAGUGGCGAACGGGUGAGUAACCCGUGAGUAACCUGCCCUUGACUUUGGGAUAACUUCAGGAAACUGGGGCUAAUACCGGAUAGGAGCUCCUGCUGCAUGGUGGGGGUUGGAAAGUUUCGGCGGUUGGGGAUGGACUCGCGGCUUAUCAGCUUGUUGGUGGGGUAGUGGCUUACCAAGGCUUUGACGGGUAGCCGGCCUGAGAGGGUGACCGGCCACAUUGGGACUGAGAUACGGCCCAGACUCCUACGGGAGGCAGCAGUGGGGAAUAUUGCACAAUGGGCGGAAGCCUGAUGCAGCAACGCCGCGUGCGGGAUGACGGCCUUCGGGUUGUAAACCGCUUUCGCCUGUGACGAAGCGUGAGUGACGGUAAUGGGUAAAGAAGCACCGGCUAACUACGUG